rnacentral:rRNA from 1 species
UACGUAGGGUGCGAGCGUUAUCCGGAUUCAUUGGGUUUAAAGGGUGCGUAGGCGGACUAAUAAGUCAGUGGUGAAAUCUCUCGGCUUAACCGAGAAACUGCCAUUGAUACUGUUAGUCUAGAGUAUAGAUGACGUUGGCGGAAUAUGACAUGUAGUGGUGAAAUACUUAGAUAUGUCAUAGAACACCGAUUGCGAAGGCAGCUAACGAAACUAUAACUGACGCUGAGGCACGAAAGUGCGGGGAUCAAACAGG